GCUAGCUCAGUUGGUAGAGCAUGAGACUCUUGUUCUCGGGAUCGUGGGUUCGAGCCCCACAAUAGGCG